AGGGUGGGUGAAACAGCCUUACGUCAGAAGAGGACCUGGCUAGGACUUUAAUGGCUGGAGAGAAGUCAGUGCCUGGCUUCAAUUCUUCAAGGCUUGGACAGAGGGACUCUUCUGUAGGGGUGCACGCAGCUGCUGACUUUU